UUGAAUAAGACUUUAAUUGAGUGCUAAGAGAAUGGAAUUACAGGAAAAAUCUUUUUUAAACUUAACAAUUAAAGUUAUUUUUACUUGUGAAGAAACAGUAAUAAAAAUUAAGGACAAGAAGACCCUAAGAAUUUUUAGAAACAUAUUUCAAUAAAGAAGAUAUGUUUCUUUAAUUGGGGCGAUUAAUUAAUAUUAAAAACUUUUUUAAAAAAACAUGAACCGUUUAAUAGCGGUAAAUUGGUAAAAAUACUCUAGGCAUAACAG
rnacentral:rRNA from 1 species